rnacentral:rRNA from 1 species
GACGAACGCUGGCGGCGUGCUUAACACAUGCAAGUCGAACGGAAAGGCCCUGCUGUUGUGGGGUGCUCGAGUGGCGAACGGGUGAGUAACACGUGAGUAACCUGCCCUUGACUUUGGGAUAACUUCAGGAAACUGGGGCUAAUACCGGAUAGGAGCUCCUGCUGCAUGGUGGGGGUUGGAAAGUUUCGGCGGUUGGGGAUGGACUCGCGGCUUAUCAGCUUGUUGGUGGGGUAGUGGCUUACCAAGGCUUUGACGGGUAGCCGGCCUGAGAGGGUGACCGGCCACAUUGGGACUGAGAUACGGCCCAGACUCCUACGGGAGGCAGCAGUGGGGAAUAUUGCACAAUGGGCGGAAGCCUGAUGCAGCAACGCCGCGUGCGGGAUGAAGGCCUUCGGGUUGUAAACCGCUUUCGCCUGUGACGAAGCGUGAGUGACGGUAAUGGGUAAAGAAGCACCGGCUAACUACGUG